GCCUGGGUGGCUCAGUCGAUUGAGCGUCUGACUUCAGCUCAGGUCAUGAUCUCACAGUCUGUGAGUUCGAGCCCCACGUCCGGCU
rnacentral:tRNA from 1 species